rnacentral:rRNA from 1 species
GACGAACGCUGGCGGCGUGCUUAACACAUGCAAGUCGAGCGGUAAGGCCCUUUCGGGGGUACACGAGCGGCGAACGGGUGAGUAACACGUGGGUGACCUGCCCUCAGCUCUGGGAUAAGCCUGGGAAACCGGGUCUAAUACUGGAUAUGACUCCAUGACGCAUGUUGUGGGGUGGAAAGCCUUGUGCGGCUGAGGAUGGGCCCGCGGCCUAUCAGCUUGUUGGUGGGGUGAUGGCCUACCAAGGCGACGACGGGUAGCCGGCCUGAGAGGGCGACCGGCCACACUGGGACUGAGACACGGCCCAGACUCCUACGGGAGGCAGCAGUGGGGAAGUCCUGCGCAAUGGGCGAAAGCCUGACGCAGCGACGCCGCGUGGGUGAUGAAGGCCUCGGUC